GCCGGGUGUGGUGGUGCACACCUAUAAUCCCAGCAGCUUGGGAGGCUGAGGCAGGAGGAUUGUAAGCUCAAGGCCAGCCUCAGCAACUAACUGAGGCCCUAAGUAAAUUAGCAAGAGCGGGUCUCAG
rnacentral:sRNA from 1 species